CCUACGGGUGGCAGCAGUGGGGAAUAUUGGACACUGGGGGGAACCCUGAUCCAGCCAUGCCGCGUGUGUGAAGAAGGCCCUCGGGUUGUAAAGCACUUUCAGUGAGGAAGAACGCCUGGUGGUUAAUACCCAUCAGGAAAGACAUCACUCACAGAAGAAGCACCGGCUAACUCCGUGCCAGCAGCCGCGGUAAUACGGAGGGUGCGAGCGUUAAUCGGAAUUACUGGGCGUAAAGCGCGCGUAGGUGGCUUGAUAAGCCGGUUGUGAAAGCCCCGGGCUCAACCUGGGAACGGCAUCCGGAACUGUCAAGCUAGAGUGCAGGAGAGGAAGGUAGAAUUCCCGGUGUAGCGGUGAAAUGCGUAGAGGUCGGGAGGAAUACCAGUGGCGAAGGCGGCCUUCUGGACUGACACUGACACUGAGGUGCGAAAGCGUGGGUAGCAAACAGGAUUAGAUACCCCUGUAGUC
rnacentral:rRNA from 1 species